CUCGAUGAUGGCCACACCCACGCCCACGCCGAGGAUGAUGCCCAGGUUCUCCUGCAGCCACGCCUGCACCUUCUCCAUGCAGCCCUCCUGGUACACAGGCCAGUCCUCAGGGUGGUUGCCACUCUGGGUCCUGUUGCCGGGGGCCUCGCAGAAGCCCUUCCUCACAGAAAGGCUGUUGUCCUCUUCCCCCUUGACUUCGCAGGAACAGGGGUAGGUGACCUCAGGGCGAUUCAUGAGCUCAGCGUUGUCUGUCCAGUUGUAGAAGCUGACCCAGCCGCAGCACUUCACCUGAGCCUGCACGUAGUCCCAGGCAUCCUG
rnacentral:lncRNA from 1 species